rnacentral:lncRNA from 1 species
GUUUUAAAAGCAGUUGAAAAGUAAUUCUUAUUGCGUGUGAGAGUUCAUGACCUGUAAGAGUUUUUACACUUCCGGGUAGACCGGAGCGUGAGAGACGAGGAAGAAGGAGCGGAGAGUUAAUGGCGUCGAGCAGCUGACAGAGGACUGUGUGUGUCGUCAGUGUCGUGUUUUAUCACUAACAGACUGUGAACUGUUGUCGGACGACGUGCUGUGAGUGUGUGAGUUGGACUCUCCAUCGCAGUCGAAGUGUUUGUGUUUUAAUGGACACGAAGCAAGUUCGGCUAAGCUAUCUAGCAGGAGCUAAGCUAGCUAGUAGGAGCUAAGCUAGCGGCCCGGCCAUUGUCGAGAGGAGGCCUGCGCGGACGGGAGAAGCUUUGCCGGGUCGCCACGAAGAAUGUCGCCGACGGACGGAGCUUCGCAGCCGCAGAGGGACACGGAGUUUUAUCGCUGCGAGCAUUUUGUUUUCACAGACUAACCUCGCCUCAUAACAAGGCCGCGACCUCCUGUUAGCUCGGAGCCUCGUCUGCAAGUCCAGAUUUACACCAUGCCGAUAAUGACGCCAUUGUCUGCCUGUAAGACAUUACGAGACAGUACGCAGGACAACAAACAACCAGAUCUUGCAUCGCAGGCGGAGGCUGUGACGAGUUCAGCUCGGAGUCGAUCGAGGACGAAUAGGCUGCUGGAAGCGAGACAGUGUGCUAGCUGAGGAUGAGGUGGACCUUUCGAAGUUCGCCGCCAUGGACCUGAUGUCUGAGGAGGAAGACGGCACAAGAUGGCGGGGUGUCUGGAUGAAUUGUGCGACCUCUGUCCUUUCGCAGCCGGGAGCUCACCGAGCUCUGCGCCACGCUGCUGUCACAUGAGAGGCGAUUCCGAAGUACAGGGCAGCGCACCACAGAUGUCUGCAAAAACAGACACUUCUGUGCUGUAGGAUUUUGGGCCUCUUUUGAGCUUCCCGUUUGUUGUGUGGGCAGAUUAUGCUUUGUACAUGCUGUGUGAUUGUGUUUGUGCUAAUAAAACUCUUUCUUUGAAUAAACAACACCUUCCUGGCAAAUGUUCCUUUCCUCAGUAAAUUCAUUCAUGUCAUUGAUGAUACCAUAAAUAUAAAUGAAUAAAUC